UACGGAGGGUGCGAGCGUUGUCCGGAAUUACUGGGUGUAAAGCGCGUGUAGGCGGCAGACCAAGUCGGCGGUGAAAGCGCCCGGCUCAACUGGGCGAGGUCCGUGGAAACUGGUCAGCUGGAGGACGGUAGAGGCGAGUGGAAUUCCCGGUGUAGUGGUGAAAUGCGUAGAGAUCGGGAGGAACACCUGUGGCGAAGGCGGCUCGCUGGGCCGGUCCUGACGCUGAGACGCGAAGGCGUGGGGAGCGAACGGG
rnacentral:rRNA from 1 species